GGGCCAUAGCUUAGUGAUAGAGCAUCUGCCUUGCAUGCAGAAGAUGCCAGGUUCAAUUCUCAGCAUCCCCA